UGAACGCUGGCGGCGUGCCUAAUACAUGCAAGUCGAGCGAACGGACGAGAAGCUUGCUUCUCUGAUGUUAGCGGCGGACGGGUGAGUAACACGUGGAUAACCUACCUAUAAGACUGGGAUAACUUCGGGAAACCGGAGCUAAUACCGGAUAAUAUUUUGAACCGCAUGGUUCAAAAGUGAAAGACGGCCUUGCUGUCACUUAUAGAUGGAUCUGCGCUGCAUUAGCUAGUUGGUAAGGUAACGGCUUACCAAGGCAACGAUGCAUAGCCGACCUGAGAGGGUGAUCGGCCACACUGGAACUGAGACACGGUCCAGACUCCUACGGGAGGCAGCAGUAGGGAAUCUUCCGCAAUGGGCGAAAGCCUGACGGAGCAACGCCGCGUGAGUGAUGAAGGUCUUCGGAUCGUAAAACUCUGUUAUUAGGGAAGAACAUAUGUGUAAGUAACUGUGCACAUCUUGACGGUACCUAAUCAGAAAGCCACGGCUAACUACGUG
rnacentral:rRNA from 1 species